rnacentral:rRNA from 1 species
UACGUAGGGUGCGAGCGUUGUCCGGAAUUACUGGGCGUAAAGAGCUCGUAGGUGGUUUGUCGCGUUGUUCGUGAAAACUCACAACUCAAUUGUGGGCGUGCGGGCGAUACGGGGCAGACUGGAGUACUGCAGGGGAGACUGGAAUUCCUGGUGGUAGCGGUGGAAUGCGCAGAUAUCAGGAGGAACACCGGUGGCGAAGGCGGGUCUCUGGGCAGUGAACUGACGCUGGAGGAGCGAAAGCGUGGGGAGCGAACAGGA